AGCAGCCGCGGUAAUUCCAGCUCCAAUAGCGUAUAUUAAAGUUGUUGCAGUUAAAAAGCUCGUAGUUGAAUUUCGGAAUCUGUCUAUCGGUCGGGCUUCACUGUCCGCACUGAUGUGAUGGAUUCUUACCUUCUGAAUAACCUUCAUGCCAUUAAGUUGGUGCGUUGGGGAAGCAGAGCUAUUACCUUGAAAAAAUUAGAGUGCUUAAAGCAGGCUAGUGCUUGAAUAGAUUAGCAUGGAAUAAUGAAAUAGGACGGCAUGGUUCUAUUUUGUUGGUUUCUAGGAUCACCGUA
rnacentral:rRNA from 1 species